rnacentral:misc_RNA from 1 species
CCCUUUAUUUUUGUAUCUCUCCUCUGUUGCCUGUGUAGCAGAUAAAUUAGUUGGCCAGUGUAAUUCAGUUAUCAAAAGAUGAAAAAUAAAGAAUCAAGACUAGUUACAUGAAAUCCAUCAGUUUGAUUUGUCAACAACUUUUUUCGUUACUCAUUCGACCAACUUAGAACAUUGGGAACUUAUUCCAAUUUUGUUUACUACAUAUUAUCUAAAUCCAAGAAGCUACAAGAGUUAACUUAUUUGGAACAAAAGCUAGAACUUGCUUCAUAACCUAAUAUUUGACCAACGCAAAACUAUAAGGAACCUAUUUGAAGUUUGUCUGCACCGCACAUCAUCCAAGGUCAUACUUGUUUAAUCCAUCCUUCCACCAAAUCAUUUGUCUACACCUGAUUAUUCAUUGCGCCACCAUGCCGUUCACUUAGAUAACAAAAGAAGAAUAGUCUAUAGACAUAUAUCUAACGUUUGUAUCUUACUCUUAGAGUUGGAGAAGAAACCAAUUAUAUCAAUCAGCUAACUAUUAGACUUCAGUUAACAACACAUGUCAAUGUCAUUGACUGUUCAACAAAGAAAUAUCACAUUCACAUGCCCAACCAAACCUGUUACGAACCUAUAUAACAAAAAAAUCCUGUGUCUUUCCAUUACCAAAACCCUACAGAAAUAUUAAGAACUCAUCAGAAAAAUUUUGGUUAUUCAAACAUGACAUUCUACAUUCAAACCAGUGAGAAAUCUACAAAAAUUUUGCAAAUAACCAACUAUGACCCCAGAAACAUACUUGUUUUCAAAGCUCAAACCCAGAUCCAAAUAAUAAAGUCCAAAACAAAUAUUGGAUACAAAUCUCAACGAAAAAGGAAAGCUUCAUUUUCAUGUGAAUGUAUUAUAAUGGAAACAUAGACAUCAAACUUUUCCAGCUCUGAUAUCCCAUAUUGGCCUGAGGCAAACUAUAUGUAGAGGACACAAACAUACAUGUAAACUAGACUAUACAAAUAUCAAAUCUUUUACACAUAAGGAAAACACCAUCCUUGGUGCUAAGCCAAAGGAUGCAAAACGCUUAUCUUCCCAUGUAAAAUAUCAAGGAGAUGCAUAUGAAAUCUGAAAAGAGUACAGUAUCAAAAAGAAGAAUUCAAGGAAACCUGAAAUUGUGGGUAGUCUGGUG